rnacentral:rRNA from 1 species
UACAGAGGGUGCGAGCGUUAAUCGGAAUUACUGGGCGUAAAGCGUGCGUAGACGGUAGCGUAAGUCAGAUGUGAAAGCCCCGGGCUCAACCUGGGAAUUGCAUUUGAGACUGCUCUGCUCGGGUGCGGAAGAGGGAAGCGGAAUUUCCGGUGUAGCGGUGAAAUGCGCAGAUAUCAGGAGGAACACCAAUGGCGAAGGCAGCUCGCUGGGACGGUACUGACGCUGAGACGCGAAAGCGUGGGGAGCGAACAGG